GGGAUGUGGUUAUGGGCAUGGUAGAGAUGGGUCGUGUAUAGGAACUGCUGAGUCACGGCUUGAAUCACUGAUUGAGCACCUGGAGGAAAGACAUAGGCAGCCCUGGGAGCACAGGUGAAGGUAAUUCAGCUGUGCUACCAGAAGGGGUGGAGCCUGGCUCUACCCCUCUUAGACCUCAUUUAAGGGCUGAUGGCCCCUGAGGAAGGAUGUCUUGUUGGAGCUCUCUCCUUUGUGGAGUUUUUCUGUGAGCCUGGGUCUUUAGAGACAGAUGCUCCCUGCCUCCAUUUCUCAGAGGAAGCCUGAGAGAAACAAGCACUGCUGACCUGCUGGCACCAGCAACAGGAAGAGCAGCCCUGUGUUUCCCUGCCCCAGCAGUGCACCUGUUCCUGGGGGCUGGAAGCAGUGUUGCUAUUAAUUGGCUGAAGUUGCCCUAUAAAACUUGAGCUUUAAGACUCAGAAACCUGAUAGCAGCUUGGAGUUCCCUUGGAAAUCACCAGAUGUGGCCCAAGAGCACCUAAAAGGAAGAGAGUCAAACUGCCUCCUUCUUUCCCCACUCUGGCUAUCUGUGACAUCCACAAAAUCCAGAUGAAUAUCUGACAGCUGCCUUGCACCCCAGCGAUCAGGAGGAAAUGGAGGAGAGGGGCUGUCCUAUGUUGGCCCUUUGCACAAAGAAGGUGGGACUAGACACUGCCACCAAGGUGUUGUAUCGUGAGGACCAGAAGCCUCUCGUUAUGGCAGCCCCAGGAUGCUACACCGAUGGCGGCCUGGUUUUACGACUUCUCCACUUUACCUCAUUAAAGGCAGAAGAGAGAGAGCUGCAGAACGUGCAGCUGGAUCGUAAACACCAGGAAGGAAGAAAACAAGUGCAUAAAAAAGAUGGGGCAUGGAGCAUAGGGAUUUUACUCUUCGAGCACUGUGAUAGCGCAUCCCAUCUACUACACUGUCUGGGCUCACUGCUGUUAACUCCAGUCUUCAUUACCAUUCCAAUUUUCUGUCGGACAACCUGCAGUGCGGGGUGAUGGCUGUUGAAGAAAGCUCUUGGGGAAAAGAGGGUAUUGAUAAUAUCAACCAGCAGCAAUAUCCAAAGCCUGUGUGAUGUAUUUCUAGAGAGAGAGGUUGGUAGAAUCUCUGCUCCAAAGAUGGAUUAAAAAUGCAUGCUAUAAUUCAGCUUGUCAGACAGGAGCUCGUGUUGGCAGUAAGUAUAUACAUUUUUUGUCACCUGUUUGCCAUGUUUUCUAAUGGCUUCACAUUUUGAUUUUAUAUGCUAACGUGAAGUGUCCUCUUUUUAGCUCUGCCCUUCAAACACAUCUGCCCUGCUUUUCCUCUCUAGACUUCAGCUUGAAUAAGUACAAAGAACAAACAAAACCCACAAGGAGUUGGCUAACCGGGGAAUGUCUUACAGCCAUUGUAGAGGGAUUUGUAGGGAAUAAAAGAGAACAGACCCCACAGACCGUCUCCAUGAGGAUCUGCAGAGAACAUGUACAGGACAAGAAGUCACUGAAACGGGCUUUUGGUUAACAUGGCAGUAAUGUGGCACAUCAGUCUGGUUCAGGGAAGGGAGUGCUACAGACGCCGUGAGCCAUGUGUGGGAAUCUGAGUCUUAAUGGGCAGGGCUUGUACAUUGAUUUGGGUUUGUGAAAGACUGGAGAGCUGAAUCGCUCUGGAAGUCACCUGGAUUAUGUGCAGUGCCGUAGUGCCUGGAACAAUAACUGCUGUGUGGCAAUGUGUGACAGCACAGUCAAAGGGAGGGAAGCAGGAGGUGAUGAGUGCAGAUCCCGUGUUUGCUCAGAUGGCUGCAGUGAGUGGAGGGCAUUCCUGGCAAAUGGAGCCUUUUGGGGCCCCAAGGAUAAGGGCAAAAGGAGCAGAGAGGCUGAGCAGUGCUGUAGCAGACGCCCAUCCCCUUUAGCCACAAAUCACGCUGUCUGCACUGAGGAUGAAUGUCACAGAUAUGCCAUUCACUCAGCAAUGCAGCCCAUGCCCCACUGCCACCUCUACCUGAGCACACACUGCCCUGGCUCCCAUGAAUUGGCACUGAAAUAGAGCAGCCCAAGUUGCUAUGAGGGCAUCCUGAGGUCCUGACAGCACUUUGCCAAUUCACUGACCUCUAUUAUGUCCUGAAUCAUGGGAGGCUACACCCAAAAUCAGCCUAAAAAGUUGACUGAUUUCCCCAUAACCUCCAAUCUGACCUGCAGACCCUCACUCACCAUCAUACAAGGUUUUCCCCACCUCUCCACCAUGAAACCAUCCCUCCACCCUCCUCUCCCCCUUCCCAGUUAAUGCUGAGAGCCAGGAAAGAAAGCAUAGCAAAUUGAAAUAAAUGAGAGUGAGAGAAGGAAGGGGGAGGUGGGAGGGGGAAGCGAGGAACGAGCUGCCAGGUUCUGUCACUUCAGGGGUCCCGGGGGGAGCAGGGGGGUGGCAGCAAGGCCAAAGCCUGAUCCUCAGUGAUGUUGGGAGCUGUGUAGCCUGUGACCUUCAGAGCACUUAGCACUGAUGAGGAGCAUCUCAGUGAUCAGAGAGGGGCAGGAAGGGCACACAAGUGUGUGGGAGUGAUGUUGGUAGGGGGGCUGCCUCUUUAAGAUGGUGAGGACAAGGGGACUGGCACCAUCGCAGCUCUCUUGGAGCAUCCUGCUCCUCCCAACCCCACCCUGUGGGCUCCUCAGAGAGAUGCCAGCCAAGGGCCCAUAGAGGGCACUGAUUUGUCAACGAACCAGUGAGAAAUUACACAUUCAGGUAAAAAAAAAAGACAGGCAUGAAGGGCCCAGCAUCCUUCUGCAGCUCCUGUAGGCGGGUUAUUUCUGAGUUAAUGAUGGACUGCUUCUUUUUUUACUUCUCUGGUCUCACUCGGAAAUGCAAACAUCGUGGGGAGGUGGGAGAGGUGGCUUCCCCUUCCCAUUUGCUUGAGGAGCAGAUGGCCCCACAGCUGAUUUCUCCUUGCUUCCCUCUGUCAGUAAAAGAUACGUAACCUAGCUCUGAGAAUACCACUUCUUGGCAAACAUGUUCCUGAAAAAUAGAAGGGAAAUUCCCAGUACUGUGAUUUCAUGCUUCUCCAUCCUCCCUUUUUAGUUCUUUUAUUCUACUCACAGAGGCAAGGUGCACAGCUACAGCUGGGUUCAGUUACUCAGAAGCCACAGGCACUGCUCAGUCGAUGCAGGGCAUGGGGAAAGUCUAAGGGGAAGGCUGCAGACCCCUCACCAGCUCCCAGCUCAUCCUGUUCCUCCUAUGCCAGAGAGGAGGCCCAUUAGCAGCAGCUCUGCUGCAGUGUCUCUUUAAAGGAAGUGUCAAGAAUAAAGAUGUACCUCCAGGUUUUGGAAGACAAUUAUUGCACGUUAAUUAAAUAUGAAAUGACACUUAAGAGCAUAUCCAUUGCCUUAACAGCGACUCUCUGUAAUAAUAAUAAUACUUAGCACUUACAUAGCUCUCUCCAUCUAUAUAGUGCUUUACAAACAUUAACUAAUGAAUCCUCACAACCUCUGUGUGAAGCUGAAGAGGCUGCUGACAUGAUGGGGAGGGGGGAACAGAGAUGUAUCAUGGGAAUAACCUCCUCUUGGCCUGCUUUCCAGGCUUCUAUGCUAUACAUUCUCUCUCCUUCCUGCCAGCCUUCCCUGAAUUGUGCUUCUCUCUGGCAUCAUGUAGCAGGCACAUUGCAUGGUGGACAUUGGCAGCUCAGUGAGGUGGUACCAACAGUCACUGCUGCAGAAGGAGCUGAUGCCUCCCUAGAUUUGUCUGCAGCUGGAGCUUUUCAGAUGGGACCAUAGGAAAUACAGUUCUGGCUUUG
ensembl:lncRNA